ACUCGAAUGUGGAAUCUAAAAACAGAAACAAUUCCUAUCAUAGUAGGUGCCUUAGGUAUAAUAAAAAAAUAUUCAGACAAAUACAUAACAAAAACACCAGGACUUACAAAUAUAUAUAACAUACAGAAAAUUGCACUACUGGGUACUGCACACAUUCUACGCAAAACACUUUCAAUACAGUAAACAUAAGAGCACCACAGCAAACCACAGCACAUACCCAAGGCGCACAGAGCUGCGCUCGGUAGUGAAGUGAAAGCACGUUAUAAAAAUAAAACUACUGAAUAAUAAUAAUAAUAAUGAAAGUAACAACAUUGUAUAUCAUUACUUUGUAGAUCAUUGUUUUACCAAUAUUUCUUUUUAUUAAUUAUUAUUAUUUAUUUAUUGCUAGGUUGUAAAUGUCAUUUGCUGUUUCAGUUAUAAAAAUCACAAGGGGACCAUGAUACAGCAUCACCAAUUUUGGCUUUUGGUUUGUACUCUUAACCGUACAUGUGUGAUUCUCUGCUUUCUACAUAGCCAUCAUCAACCAGCCGCUAGAAGCUCUCCCUGUGUUAAGGGGUUGGAUUGCCACAGACUCUACAGUUUCCUCUGUGUUGUACUGCAUCUGUACAAGUAAUUAGGCUUUUGUUUCUAGUCCACUUUUGAUGUUGUCAGUUCACAAUCAUCGUUGACAAGCUCUUGGUAUUUUCCUCUCCCCAGUUCCUGUCAGAAAUGCCUUUGGCAAUGACUUAAAGCAUAUGGAAUAUCCAAAAUAUGACAGCUUGUGGGCUUGGUUCUUGACAAUAGGUAUUUUUGGACUUUCCACUUUUCUAGUACUGCAGCAUUUGUUACCUUGUCUUUCCAGCAUAUCCUACCCAAUCAGCAAAAGAUUCACAGCUAGGCUUCUAUCUUCUCCAUUGCUAUAUACAUUGCCCAAGUUUCUAACAGACAGAAGAAAAUUGCAUUUUACUGAAAUUUUGUGGUCAAAACCAAUGAACUGAAUUUAAAAAUUUGAAAUGAACCAAUUUUCUACAGAACCCUUUGACCACGCUGAGAGUUCUUUUUUAUUAAUAAAACAGACGAGAAAAAGAAAUCACUUAAUCAGUCAAAGUUGGCUGCUCCUGGAGGAUAUUCUGGACUCUGGAUUAAACCUCCCCAUCUAUCAUUGACUAAUUCAGUGUUGCUGCAAUCUACAAAAGAAUCCAUUUUAGUGGUGACAGAUAAAGGGUGAAAGUUUGAAAAAGUUUCCCAUUGGAUGUAUUGAAGAAGGAAUGCACUGAGUAAUUAAUGAAUAUUAUCAGCUCAGUACUAAAUUAAUUCUAGAGUUGGAUAUAUGUUGGUGUUUAGUGUUAGGCCAGACAGGAUUGAGCAAGCCUACACUUAAAGCAUUUCUAUGGAUGUGAGUGUCACAGCUUUUUAAAAUUUAAUGUACAUAAAAAUGCUUCUCAACAUCCAAACAA